rnacentral:rRNA from 1 species
AUGAACGCUGGCGGCGUGCCUAAUACAUGCCAGUAGAACGCUGAAGGAGGAGCUUGCUCUUCUGGAUGAGUUGCGAACGGGUGAGUAACGCGUAGGUAACCUGCCUGGUAGCGGGGGAUAACUAUUGGAAACGAUAGCUAAUACCGCAUGACAACAGUUAUUGCAUGAUAACUGUUUAAAAGGGGCAACUGCUCCACUACCAGAUGGACCUGCGUUGUAUUAGCUAGUUGGUGAGGUAACGGCUCACCAAGGCGACGAUACAUAGUCGACCUGAGAGGGUGAUCGGCCCCACUGGGACUGAGACACGGCCCAGCAGCCUACGGGAGGCAGCAGUAGGGAAUCUUCGGCAAUGGACGGAAGGCUGACCGAGCAACGCCGCGUGAGUGAAGAAGGGUUUCGGAUCGUAAAGCUCUGUUGUAAGAGAAGAACGAGUGUGAGAGUGGAAAGUUCACACUGUGACGGUAGCUUAACAGAAAGGGACGGCUAACUACGUG